rnacentral:lncRNA from 1 species
UCUAGGACUGCUGCUGCUGCUCGUGGUACAAGCACAAAGCUAUUUUCUUUGGCUAUUUUCAAAGACUGACUAAUUGGGAAAUGGAAGAACAUAUUUUCAGAUGAGGUUAAGAUUUCCCCCACCAGUGCACACUCACCAGCCCUGAGGCACAGCUCCCUGCUCUGCUCCUGACAUGUGUUUCUCUGUGAACUUGGACGGUGCCUACCACGCUGGCAGGAAGCCACACCGGAGCUAACAGAGAGGCACGGGAACUCAGC